AGUACGUGAAACUGCUUAGAGGUUAAGCCCGAUGAACUUGAAUAUCCAUUAUGGAAAAUUCAUCAUUAAUAUUAUAAUAUUUAUCAUAUUAUAAAAAUAGUGUGCAAUUUUUCCAUAUAAGGACAUUGUAAUCUGUUAAUGUAUUAAAUAUUUAUUAAAAGAUCUUAUACUUAUGUUUAUUUGAAUUUGUUAACUUUGGUUUUCAAACAUAAAAUAAAUGUAUUUGAUUUAAUAAAUCAUUGACAGAUUUCAUUAUAUAUAGUGCUUAAAUUUUUUUUUUAAAAAAUUUUACAAUAACAUUAUAAUUCUAUUUAUUGUGUUUAUUGUAUGCGCUUAUAUGAUUAACAAUGCAAUAGAUUCAAGAUACCUUCGGGACCCGUCUUGAAACACGGACCAAGGAGUCUAACAUAUGUGCAAGUCAUUGGGUAUUUUUAAUAAAACCCAAUGGCAUAAUUAACUUAACUGUUAUAUGGGAUUAGUUUAAAUUUUAUUAUGAAAUAUAAAUUCAAUCCCGGGGCGUUCUAUACAGUUAUGCAUAAUGGUAUUUAUAUUAUUUAUGCCUCUAACU
rnacentral:rRNA from 1 species